rnacentral:rRNA from 1 species
AUUGAACGCUGGCGGAAUGCUUUACACAUGCAAGUCGAGCGGCAGCGCGGGGCAACCUGGCGGCGAGCGGCGAACGGGUGAGUAAUGCAUCGGAACAUGUCCAUGUCGUGGGGGAUAGCCCGGCGAAAGCCGGAUUAAUACCGCAUACGCCCGAGAGGGGAAAGUGGGGACCGCAAGGCCUCACGCGAUUGGGUUGGCCGAUGUCCGAUUAGCUAGUUGGCGGGGUAANGGCCCACCAAGGCGAUGAUCGGUAGCUGGUCUGAGAGGAUGAUCAGCCACACUGGGACUGAGACACGGCCCAGACUCCUACGGGAGGCAGCAGUGGGGAAUUUUGGACAAUGGGGGCAACCCUGAUCCAGCCAUUCCGCGUGAGUGAAGAAGGCCUGG